rnacentral:tRNA from 1 species
GGGCGCGUAGCUCAGUUGGUAGAGCAUUCGACUUUUAAUCGAACGGUCGCAGGUUCGAUCCCUGCCGCGCCUACCA